UCAGGCGAAAUACAAAGAAGAGUUUGGAAGUGUUAAAUGUGAAAAACUGCUCAGCUUUUAAGCAAAGCGAAAACCCCUCAGCGCCGCAACCGCUCAGCGGUUUGCGCGUGAUUUCUCUUCUUCCUCUUUUUGCUUUCUUUUGAGUAAUCUUUCCCUCUAGCACUUAAUUUCAACCUUCAAUUUCUCAAAUAUAUACCUUUCCC
rnacentral:lncRNA from 1 species